rnacentral:lncRNA from 1 species
GACCCGCUUCUUUCCUAAAAGGAAGUGGCCUCAGAAUUUUCUCGCGGAGUAACCUCUUCGUAAACCCAGGUUCCCCAGGUCCCACGCCUGAGGGUGCUCGGAGCCGCCCUGGAGGGCAGCACGGACUGGCGGGUUCUUUUAAACCCACGGUGAAAACGUCCUCUGGAUGUUUCAUCUGAUGAAAGGCGCAUCCUUACUUUUCCAGUCUUGGUCACAUUCUCUCCUUUCCCUACCAAAGACUGGGUGGCACGGUCGCCCCCGAAGCGUGAAUUGGGGUUGAGGAGGAAGAACACCGUAAACGCUCUUUGAGUGGCCUGUGGCUUCUCUACUUCUUCACUAACCACUCCUGGUUUGGGCGGAUUCUCACACAAAAUUGUCUUGGCAAAACCUCAGCCUGACCCACGAUCAAGGGAUGCACCUGCAUUGAUCUUCUUGAAGGUAUUUUUCAAAUAUGUCCUUUCUUUGAAUUCCCUGUCUGUGUGUCGGACAUUUUCUUGAAACUCAGAAGGUUUUCUCUGUCCGAGAUGCUGGUUUCUCUGAAAAGGGCUGUUUUCCUCAUCCUUGACUGUGAACCGUUUCACCACCCCGUGAUGGCCGUUAAAGGAAGACUGUUUUCCUAACUGGUCCUCUGGGUGUUGGCUCACGGAUGUCUUCCUGAGCUGCUGGUGUGGGGGACGGUGGGUGGGUGUAGGCCUGCCGGGUGCUGAUUCUGAUGGGCUUUCUGUCUCAAAACUGCAACCUUGGUUUACCUGGAGGAGAGGGUGCUUCCUAUGCUGCAGCCCCAGCCCGGGGGAUUGGGGGGUGGGUCCAGCUCUCAGGCAUCCAGCUGCCUCUCCCUGCCAUCCUGGUUACAGAAAGCGAGGGCAGCAGUCUGGGCAAGAGCUGGUCCCAUGGUGGGGGAGGGGGCUCGGUAGGCAUCCAGGUACUUCAGUGUCACAGGGCUGCCAUGACUAAUUACCAUCCACUGAGUGGCUUAAGAUAACAGAAAUUGGUUCUCAUAAUUCUGGAAGCCAGAAAUCUGAAAUCCAGGUGUCCCCAGGGGUAUUCCUUCAGGUGGCCCUAAGGGAGAACCUAACCCCUGCCUCUGUCCCAGCUUCCAGCGUUGGCCCUCAGUCCUUGGCUUGUAUGUGCAUCGGUCCUGUCCCUGCACAGUGGUCCACAUGACGUGGCUGUAUCUGUAACUUAUCACUUAUUAAUUAUGUUUAGGUUGUUUCCAACGUUAUUUCAUUUUUUUUUGCUAUCACCAAUAAUGCUGCAAUGAUGAUUUGUAUAGAAAUAGAAGUAGAAUAAAUUCCUAGAUGUGGAAUUCCAGCAUCAAAGGCUGUGUGAUUCACAUUUUCGAUGGAUACAGUCAUCUGCCCUUAUCCACAGGGAUACUUUCCUAGAGGAAGCCUGAAGCCACAGAUAGUGUACACUAGGUUUUUUUCCUUCCCAUACAUACUGAUGAUAAAGUUUAGUUCAUAAAUUAGGCACAGUAGGGGAUUAACACUAAGUAACACUAAAAUAAACCAUUAUAACACGCUGCAGUACAAGCUUCGUGAAUAUGGUCUCUCUUUCUUGCUCUUAAAACAUCUUUCUGUACUCACCCUUCUGUGCUGUUGGGGGAUGAUGAAAUGCCUGCAUGAUGAGAUGAAGUGAGGUGAUGACAUAGGCAUUGUGACCUAGUGUUGGGCUACUACUGACCCUCUGCCUAUACAUCAGAAGAGGAUCCUCUGCUUUGGGGUCCUGGAUCAUCAAACUCUGGUAAUGGUGGAGGUUGAGUGUCAGGUGUAGAUCAUUUCGGUUGUUGGGGCUCCAGGGUGGGACGGAGCAGAUUCCAACACGGCUUGCAGUUUAAAGUCUAUGAAUUGUCUAGUUCUGGAAUUUUCCAUUUAAUAUGUUUGAACUGUGGUUGACCCGGAAAGCGAAGGCACGGGGGAAGGGAAGGGCUGCACCGUGAAAUUACCAGCAAACUUUGGCACCCGUUUGCUCUCUCACAGUUUAAGAGGGAGCCUGUCUUCCCACCCAGUUUUCCAUACUCUUUUAAAUUGUCGAUCCGAGAGUUGGAAAGUGCUGUCUCCUUUCUUUCUUUAAUUAUAGGUGAGAAAAUAAAACGGAGAUAUGAGAAAUAAGAUUGCUCUUACUAAAUAAUUCGGUCAACAGUCACCUGUAGGAGACACCAUAAGAACUUCAUAGAGAUUUAGCUCUUAAUUGUUCUAGGAGUCAGAAAAAAAAAAGGGAGAUUAUAAUAAAUGAUUUUGAUAAGAAAACCAACUUUGCUUUCCCUUCAUGAGUAUUCUAACCAUUAUUGUAGUGGACACUGACAACGAACCUGGUGUCUUAUUGGAAGACAAGUUACAGAACACAGACCAUGGGCCUCAGAACAGACGGAGUUUAGUUAUUUAUAGAAUUGGUCUUGUGUAAUCAUCUUAUAUAUAAUUAGCAAUGUGAUUUGGGGCAAAUCAUUGAACUGUUUAGUCCUUAUAUGUCUUUUUUCUCAUGUGUGUAAAGUACAGGGUUAGGACCUCAAUACCUUAAAAAAAUGUGAAUUCAGGAAUGUCUAACUUCAAUAAAUAACUGUUGCUCCUGAGGAUUUCCAAAACGAAAAUUUUUCCUCUUCUAAUUCUCCAGCAGGUGGUGACAUUCUAACACUCAAAAUUGUUACUGAUCUAGUAACUCAUUCACCCCUUAGGAUUCAUUUUAUAGAAAUAUUCUUUGCCAUUAUGGUAAAAUUUUAAUGUUAUAAAUACAAAGAAUGCAUUUAUAAAAUUUAUUAUUUACAUUAAUAUAUGCACUCAGGGUAAUGAUUGUUAAUUUGUUCUUUUCAUGUUUGUACAAAUCAAGCUCCAAAUCCAGUGACCUCAGAUGACAUGGUUUCCAAUCUGUCGCAGUUUCUUUAAUUCGGUUAAUUUUGUAAAUAGUUUCCAUUUUAAUUAAUUAAUUUACUUUAUGUGAAGACGAAGAGUGGAUACCGAUGGAACUCUAUCUUAUUGAAACUUUAAAAUUACUGUGUGAGAAAAUUUCUGAAGGAGAGCCUCAACUAAGGUCUGUAGAUAACUUUUUAGAAAGUCAAUUUACAGCCAAGGACACCAACCAAAACGGUGAAAGUUCACCAAAGUUGUAAGAUUUUAGUGUAAUUUUCAAAACAUCAAUUUUAAACAUAUGUUAAUAAUACAAAGUUAGAAAAUAAAAUAAAGAAAUAAAUGGAAUAACAUAGCAACAAAAACUUUGUAUAAUGGAUAGUGAUUUCUCUUUUAACAUAAAAUAUAUAUUCAAGGAAUAUAAUAAAACCUUAGUAGGAAAAACAAAAGAAGACACUCAUAAUCAUUGGGAUUAAAUACAGUAAAUGAAAAUGCCAUUUAAGUUAAACAUAGAUUAAAUGUAAAUAUUUAUUAAGAGCCUGAGGGAACAUUUUAUAUAACUUGACAAGUUAAUAGUAAAAAAUCUUUUGGAAAACAUCAGCAAGCAAGUACAUUAAAUAACUUUUUAAAGAUCAUAAUAAUAGACUUACUCCAUAAAAGUUACUAAACACGUUAUGAGACUUUUGUCAAAAUUAAAUAGUAACUGGAGAAUAACGUUAAAUGCGAUCUUGGAAAUAAAAAAAAAGUUAGAAAUGAUUAUGAUAAAGAUGUUUUAUUCCCCAAAUGUAGCAUGCUUGCAGAUCUUUAUAUCAUUUAAAAGUAUCUGUGUUAAUACGAAACACUUCUAUAAGCCUUGACCCUGACAAAUGCCACCAAUACAGAACCAACACUUGUUCUUAAUAUGGAGGUUAGAAGACCUAGAGUUAUUUGUGCUACUUAGAAAAAAAAAAAAAAA